rnacentral:rRNA from 1 species
UACGUAGGGUGCAAGCGUUGUCCGGAAUUAUUGGGCGUAAAGAGCUCGUAGGCGGUCUGUCGCGUCGGCUGUGAAAACUCGGGGCUCAACCCCGAGCCUGCAGUCGAUACGGGCAGACUAGAGUGCUGUAGGGGAGACUGGAAUUCCUGGUGUAGCGGUGAAAUGCGCAGAUAUCAGGAGGAACACCGGUGGCGAAGGCGGGUCUCUGGGCAGUAACUGACGCUGAGGAGCGAAAGCGUGGGGAGCGAACGGG